CCUACGGGUGGCUGCAGUGGGGAAUUUUGGACAAUGGGGGCAACCCUGAUCCAGCCAUGCCGCGUGCGGGAAGAAGGCCUUCGGGUUGUAAACCGCUUUCGGCCGGAACGAAAUCGCCGGGGAGAACAUCCCCGGUGGAUGACGGUACCGGAAGAAGAAGCACCGGCUAACUACGUGCCAGCAGCCGCGGUAAUACGUAGGGUGCGACCGUUAAUCGGGAUUACUCGGCGUAUUCCGUACGACAGAGGUUAAAUCCCCGGGCUUAACCUGGGAACUGCGGUUGUGACUGGCGGGCUGGAGUGCGGAAGAGGGAGGUGGAAUUCCACGUGUAGCAGUGAAAUGCGUAGAGAUGUGGAGGAACACCGAUGGCGAAGGCAGCCUCCUGGUCUAGCACUGACGCUCAUGCACGAAAGCGUGGGGAGCAAACAGGAUUAGAUACCCCAGUAGUC
rnacentral:rRNA from 1 species